rnacentral:pre_miRNA from 1 species
UGACUCUUCGUCUUAUUUGAAAUUUUUUUACGAUUAAUAUUUUUAUUGUUAUUAGAUAAUAAAAUAUGAAUAGGACUUUAUGCGUGACUAUUUUUAAAAGUUUUCAUAUAAUUUUUUAAAUAAAACGAAUAGUCA